ACGUAGGGUGCGAGCGUUGUCCGGAAUUACUGGGCGUAAAGAGCUUGUAGGCGGUUUGUCGCGUCGUCCGUGAAAACUUGGGGCUCAACCCCAAGCUUGCGGGCGAUACGGGCAGACUUGAGUACUGCAGGGGAGACUGGAAUUCCUGGUGUAGCGGUGAAAUGCGUAGAGAUCCGGAGGAACACCAGAGGCGAAGGCGACACCCUGGGCCGUACCUGACGCUAAGACGCGACAGCGCGGGGAGCGAACGG
rnacentral:rRNA from 1 species